CCUACGGGAGGCAGCAGUGGGGAAUCUUGCGCAAUGGGCGAAAGCCUGACGCAGUGACGCCGCGUGGGUGACGAAGGCCUUCGGGUCGUAAACCUCUGUUGUAUUGGACGAAGGAUGUGACGGUACCUAAUGAAUAAGCCACGGCUAACUACGUGCCAGCAGCCGCGGUAAUACGUAGGUGGCAAGCGUUGUCCGGAUUUACUGGGUGUAAAGGGCGUGUAGGCGGAUAGGCAAGUCAGAUGUUAAAGAUCCAGGCUUAACUUGGAAAGGUCAUCUGAAACUGCAUAUCUUGAGUGUCGGAGAGGAAAGCGGAAUUCCUAGUGUAGCGGUAAAAUGCGUAGAUAUUAGGAGGAACACCGGUGGCGAAGGCGGCUUUCUGGACGACAACUGACGCUGAGGCGCGAAAGCGUGGGUAGCAAACAGGAUUAGAUACCCCUGUA
rnacentral:rRNA from 1 species